CCACCUCCCGGGUUCAAGUGAUUCUCCCACCUCAGCCUCUCGAGUAGCCAGGAUUACAGAUGCACGCCACCACAUCAGGCUAAUUUUUGUAUUUUUAGUAGAGAUGGGGUUGGCCAUGUUGGCCAGUCUGAUCUCGAACCCCUGAGCUCAAGUGAUCCGCCCACCUUGGCCUCCCAAAGUGUUGGGAUUACAGGCGUGAGCCACCGUGCCUGGCCCUAUUUAAUUCCCUAUUUCUGUCUUUUUUGUUUGUUUGUUUCAUCUCUGUGGCUCUCUCAUGCUUACCUUUGCCUUCCCAUGCAUUUGUGCAUUCAUUCAUUCAACAUUUUCUGAGCAAAUCUCCCCUUUGCCUGGCCCUGCCCAAGCACUAUACAACAUCUGCUUAUCCUUCUCCUGCUGUGUCAGGUGGAGUCUCCUUCCCAGUGUAGCCAAUUCUGCAUUCUCUGUCUCACCAGUCUGGGUCCUUCUGGAACUCAUGCAAUCAUUCCACAGCAUUUACUAAGCACUCACCGUAAACCUAGCCCAUGCUACACACCUGUCUAUCCUUCAGCCCCUCUCUCUGCCUUUGGGCUCUGUGCACCUCAGGCAGUUAAUCCAUACGCAAGAAUUAACUCAGCAGCUACUAGAUGCUGCCAUAGAUCACACUUUUCCGUGGACUGAAUUCCCUCUAUUUCUCUCCCUGCUCUCUGUUUCUCCGAC
rnacentral:lncRNA from 1 species